GUCACAAUGGUGGACUGUCCAGGUAGUGGCUCAGGAGGGAGGUCCACGUCACAAUGGUGGACUGUCCAGGUGCUGGCUCGGGAGGGAGGUCCACGUCACAAUGGUGGACUGUCCAGGUAGUGGCUCAGGAGGGAGGUCCACGUCACAAUGGUGGACUGUCCAGGUGCUGGCUCAGGAGGGAGGUCCACGUCACAAUGGUGGACUGUCCGGGUACUGGCUCGGGAGGGAGGUCCACGUCACAAUGGUGGACUGUCCAGGUAGUGGCUCAGGAGGGAGGUCCACGUCACAAUGGUGGACUGUCCAGGUGCUGGCUCGGGAGGGAGGUCCACGUCACAAUGGUGGACUGUCCGGGUAGUGGCUCGGGAGGGAGGUCCACGUCACAAUGGUGGACUGUCCAGGUGCUGGCUCGGGAGGGAGGUCCACGUCACAAUGGUGGACUGUCC
rnacentral:lncRNA from 1 species